GGGGUUGUAGCUCAGCCUGGUCUAGAGUGCCUGCCUGUCACGCAGGAGGUCGCGGGUUCAAAUCCCGUCAACCCCG
rnacentral:tRNA from 2 species